rnacentral:lncRNA from 1 species
AAGUUCAAGGAGACCGGAGGCAAGACGACUGACUAUUGGUGUUGCCCCAUGAAAGUGGCAAGCGAUGGAAAGCCUGCAGGUGGGGCAGGAAGAACCACAGCCCAUCAGCAGUCCAUCUGCAGUGUGAAGAUGCCCAGAAGUGGUGAAGACAGAGCUGAAUUUAUGGAGUACAUAAACGAGGCAUCGCUAUACGAAGACUCUCCUAAGAAAUAGCACGCAAUUGUGAAUGCAGGCAAACCGAGGUACCGGCACAUAUGAGACAUUUGGAAGCUAAUGACAGAGCACAAACCUUUCCGUCCGGCUUGCCCUGUGCUUUUCCCCAGGUCCUGCAACAACAGGCCCUGUAAUGUGUCGUUUUGCUUCUAACGGAGUUUGCAUGCUUUUGAAAGUGACUUAGAUUUUGGCAAAGUUUAUUUAAUGCAUUAUGCAUUAAAGUUGUCAUCAGGAUUUAACA